rnacentral:sRNA from 2 species
AAUCCAACAUCGCUGAGUUUCCGAAAGGGAAACGGGGGAACCGCAUCGCGGCAGUUAAGGCGCAGCUUUGACCGUUGUGGUGUUAUUUUAGGGGUGAAUCCUCAUUGUGCAUGGGUAACAUGCACUGGGGUAGGGCGACUCUCAAGUCCGAAUCCGUCAGCUAACCUCGUAAGCGUCCAGAGAGAGGUAAC